UGAUUACUCUCCUCGUCUAGAAAUAUUUGUCAUCAAAAUAAAUAAAAAGGAUAUAUCUAGACAUAUUUUAAUUUUAGAUAUAUCUUUUUUAUCCAUUUUAAUGACAAGUAUUUUCGGACGGAGGGAGUACUAU
rfam:Triticum aestivum genome assembly, contig: Triticum_aestivum_CS42_TGACv1_scaffold_375574_5AL